rnacentral:rRNA from 1 species
ACGUAGGGAGCAAGCGUUGUUCGGAUUUACUGGGCGUAAAGGGCGCGUAGGCGGCUCUGUGCGUCGUGCGUGAAAGGCCUGGGCUCAACCCAGGAAUGGCGCACGAUACGACGGAGCUAGAGUGCAGGAGAGGAUGGUGGAAUUCCCAGUGUAGAGGUGAAAUUCGUAGAUAUUGGGAAGAACACCGGUGGCGAAGGCGGCCAUCUGGACUGCAACUGACGCUGAGGCGCGAAAGCGUGGGGAGCAAACAGGA